UCCACUGCAGGACAGACAGACAGAGAAUAGGAAUAUACAGCUGAAAUGUGGGCAACUCUCCUGUCAGCUGAAGAGAUGGGCACUUUGUACUUCUCUAUCCACGUGGGAAAAGACCCCAUCCCAUAGCUUCCAAGUCUACAACAUCCAACAUCCCUGUUCAAGGGGAACAACCCAACUUAACCAGACUCCCUUUGCCCCGUUUCUGAAACACUUCAAGAAAACAUACAAUGGGUUGACUUGGUGCCAUCCUUGGUCCCAUUGCUGUGACACGUUGUGCAAGCAAAGCAUCAGAGGCUCAACCCUGUCUGUGGGAGCUCAGUGCUCAGAAAACAGGGGGGAGGUUUUACCUUGGAAAUUGGCCAAACUCCAAAAUAGGUCUUUUACACAUGCUGCUCUUUUUUUCUCUUUUUCAAAAAGAACCAAAAAAUAAAUAAAACACCACCA